CGGAGAUACAAGCCGUCCUGUGAUCGGAAUCGAUUUCCAUACCGGCCGUGUGUGUGCUCGCGAGGGUGGAAUCGUUGUGAAUCUGUCAAAUGUGUCGCCAGUGGGCCCAAAUAGCAGCAAGCAAUUUGCCGUGCCGGCGCGUGAGCGUCGCUGGCGGCGUUAACAAACUCGGGAUGUCAGCAUUCGUUUGAGCUAAUGAGUCAGUAAUAUUGCCCGUUGCUGCUUACAAGCCAGGAAGUGUUUCAGCCUGGUGGUGGUCCAGCAACAAGACUUUAAAAUAAAGGCCGUAUGAAAAUGGAUGCCGGGGGGGUGGGGGGGGGAGCCAAAACUGGUUGCAAGAUGACCACGCUGGCCACGUGAAGCACAGAGGGGAGUAGAAAAAGAAAGAAAGGAACAAGGGGGGGGGGGGGGGUUAGUAGUUAGCAAGAGGUUUGUAGAGCUGAUGGUAGUGCUGACACAAGACAUCCAGCACACACUUUUCCUGCUAGCCUCGCACAUGGGAGAAGGGAAGCCAGGAAGGAAGGCCGCAUAUGGUGG